rnacentral:lncRNA from 1 species
AUGAACCCAGAAUGGAGGGAACAUUUUGGCUGAGAGCCUCAGCUGGGAUGUGGAAAGCAAACAGAAUAAGGUGGUUGGACUGAAAUUCAGUAUGAAUCAUAUAAGAGAGAUUUAGAAGCACGUGAAGAUAAAUGUUUCCCAUGUGACACCAAACAGCACAUUUGGAAGGUGAGCCUAUGUAAAUAAGUACUAGAAAAGACCAUAGUUUUAACAAAUAUCAAUAAGGAAUAGG